GCGACCUCAGGUAAGGUGGGGCUACCCGCUGAGU
rnacentral:rRNA from 1 species